UACGUAGGGGGCAAGCGUUGUCCGGAUUUAUUGGGCGUAAAGAGCGUGUAGGCGGCCAGGUAGGUCAGCUGUGAAAACUCGAGGCUCAACCUCGAGACGCCGGUUGAAACCAUCUGGCUAGAGUCCGGAAGAGGAGAGUGGAAUUCCUGGUGUAGCGGUGAAAUGACGCAGAUAUCAGGAAGAACACCCGUGGCUAAGGCGGCUCUCUAGUACGGUACUGGACGCUGAGACGGCGAAAGCGUGGGGAGCGAACAGG
rnacentral:rRNA from 1 species